rnacentral:rRNA from 1 species
UCCAGCCAUACACCCAGAAUUCAUUUGAUCUUGUCUGAUCUCGGAAGCUAAGCAGGGUCGGGCCUUGUUACUACUUUGAUGAAAGAUUAAACUUAACCCCUAUCUCUCUUGUGCAAAAGUUAACUCAAGAUGGAU